GGGAUACCUCCGGAAACGGAAGCUAAUACCGGAAUACGACGUACGGAGGCAUCUCCUGUACGUGGAAAGAACUUCGGUCAAGGAUGGACUCGCGGCCUAUCAGGUAGUUGGUGAGGUAACGGCUCACCAAGCCUACGACGGGUAGCCGGCCUGAGAGGGUGACCGGCCACACUGGGACUGAGACACGGCCCANACUCCUACGGGAGGCAGCAGUGGGGAAUAUUGCACAAUGGGCGCAAGCCUGAUGCAGCAACGCCGCGUGAGGGAUGACGGCCUUCGGGUUGUAAACCUCUUUUAGUAGGGAAGAAGCGAAAGUGACGGUACCUGCAGAAAAAGCACCGGCUAACUACGUGCCAGCAGCCGCGGUAAUACGUAGGGUGCGAGCGUUGUCCGGAAUUAUUGGGCGUAAAGAGCUCGUAGGCGGUCUGUCGCGUCUGCUGUGAAAACCCGAGGCUCAACCUCGGGCCUGCAGUGGGUACGGGCAGACUAGAGUGCGGUAGGGGAGAAUGGAAUUCCUGGUGUAGCGGUGGAAUGCGCAGAUAUCAGGAGGAACACCGAUGGCGAAGGCAGUUCUCUGGGCCGUAACUGACGCUGAGGAGCGAAAGCGUGGGGAGCGAACAGGAUUAGAUACCCUGGUAGUCCACGCCGUAAACGUUGGGCGCUAGAUGUGGGGACCAUUCCACGGUUUCCGUGUCGCAGCUAACGCAUUAAGCGCCCCGCCUGGGGAGUACGGCCGCAAGGCUAAAACUCAAAGGAAUUGACGGGGGCCCGCACAAGCGGCGGAGCAUGCGGAUUAAUUCGAUGCAACGCGAAGAACCUUACCAAGGCUUGACAUACACGAGAACGGGCCAGAAAUGGUCAACUCUUUGGACACUCGUGAACAGGUGGUGCAUGGUUGUCGUCAGCUCGUGUCGUGAGAUGUUGGGUUAAGUCCCGCAACGAGCGCAACCCUCGUUCUAUGUUGCCAGCGCGUAAUGGCGGGAACUCAUAGGAGACUGCCGGGGUCAACUCGGAGGAAGGUGGGGAUGACGUCAAAUCAUCAUGCCCCUUAUGUCUUGGGCUUCACGCAUGCUACAAUGGCCGGUACAAAGGGCUGCAAUACCGUAAGGUGGAGCGAAUCCCAAAAAGCCGGUCUCAGUUCGGAUUGAGGUCUGCAACUCGACCUCAUGAAGUCGGAGUCGCUAGUAAUCGCAGAUCAG
rnacentral:rRNA from 1 species